UACGUAGGGUGCAAGCGUUGUCCGGAAUUAUUGGGCGUAAAGAGCUUGUAGGCGGUUUGUCGCGUCUGCUGUGAAAAUCCGGGGCUCAACCCCGGACUUGCAGUGGGUACGGGCAGACUAGAGUGUGGUAGGGGAGACUGGAAUUCCUGGUGUAGCGGUGAAAUGCGCAGAUAUCAGGAGGAACACCGAUGGCGAAGGCAGGUCUCUGGGCCACUACUGACGCUGAGAAGCGAAAGCAUGGGGGAGCGAACAGG
rnacentral:rRNA from 1 species